rnacentral:lncRNA from 1 species
AUGGCACCCUCCAGGAGUCUUGCAGUUCCGCUGGCAGUCCUGGUACUGUUGCUUGGGGGUGCUCCCUGGACCCACAGGCGGCAGAGCAACGUACGCAUCAUCACAGACAAGAACUGGAGAGAGCUGCUGGAAGGAGGCUGGAUGAUACAAUUUUAUGCCCCGUGGUGCCCUGCUUGUCAAAACCAUUAACCGGAAUGGGAAAGUUUUGCUGAAUGGGGAGAAGAUCUGAGGUUAAUGUUGUGAAAGUAGAUGUCACAGAGCAGCCAGGACUGACUGGACAGUUUACAAUAACUGUUCUUCCUACUAUUUAUCAUUGUAAAGAUGGUGAAUUUAGGCAUCCUCAGGGUCCAAGGACUCAGAAGGACUUCAUAAACUUUAUAAGUGAUAAAGAGUGGAAGAGUAUUGAACCCGUUUCAUCAUGGUUUGUUUCAGGUUCUGUUCAGAUGAGUAGUACGUCAGCACUCUUUCAGCUAUCUACGUGGAUCAGGACUUGCCAUAACUACUUUAUUGAAGACAUUGGAUUGCCAGUGUGGGGAUCAUAUGCUGUUUUUCCUUUAGCAACUCUGCAUUCUGGACUGUUACUAGGACUCUGUAUGAUAUUUGUGGCAGGUUGCCUUUGUCCUUCAGAAAGGCACACACCACAGCCAUACCCUUCAAAAAAAUUAUCAGAAUCUGCUCAACCUUUGAAAAAACUGGAGGAAGAACAAGAGGCGGAUAAAGAAGAUGUUUCAGAAGAAGAAGCCAAAAGUAAAGAAGGAACAAAGACUUUCCACAGAAUGCCAUAACACAACACUCUCUGGGUCCAUCACUGGUCACAGAUAAA